rnacentral:rRNA from 1 species
AUGGAAACUAUGGAGGUAAAGAGAGUUUACCUGAAAACUGAGCAUGGUUAUACUUUCAACAUCAAAGUAUACAAUGCACACACGUACACCUAUUUUGAAUGCAAAACUUGGCAAGCACUAUGCAAGGCUUAUGCAUUUGAGCCUGGUAUGGUUAUCACCUUUGAUAUUCGUCCGAAAGAUGAUAUUGAAGGUAAUAGAGACAUAUGGGUCAAUGUGCAGACGCCUCCAGUUCUACCAUUAUCUUAUUUCCAUUCAAGCAAAUAUGUCCGGCGCUUGGUAGACAUGACCUACUACUGUCCCGGAGCUGAACUAAACUGUGAGGAGAUAAGUCAUUAUGUUUCAUGGCUUGAGGUUCUUCGUACUGUCAAGACAAAUUUUCUUCCUGCACUUAGAAAUGUUAGUACUCAAGACGUGCGACCAAUAGUGAUGGUAUUGAACUACGGUCAUAUCUAUUUAGGAAUGAUGGGACUCCCGAUGACAGUUGUGCCUCAGGGGAUCAAGACUAAAGGUCGCAUGUCAAUUGUUAGCUUACGAUCAAGAUAUCCUGCAUUGCACAUGAAUGCAUUCAGGAUUUCUAGAAGCUAUGAAUGCUUAAUAGUGAAAGAUUGGAGGAAAAUUGUUAACGAUCGCGGAGAAGUACUAGGGGGCAGCAAUGAGAAGCAUAGCCCAUGA